UCGUCCCAGAUCUCGCGAGACUCUGGUGCUUCAACCGAUCCUCCAGCCGGAUCCGCCCGAGGCGCCAAACCUCGCGCUACUGGCUGCGGGUGUGCCGGGGAACCAGACCCAGAUUAGCAAAAGUGCUAGAGGGUUAGCCCGAGUCGAAACCACCUUGUUGGCAUUCUGAUUUUACAGAAGAGGAAACAAGCUCAGGUCAACUAACCUGCCCAAGAUCACACAGCUGGUAAAUUAUAAAGACUUCCUGCCUGGCGCCUGCAGUUGAAUGGUGGCCAUCUUCCUGUCCUAAGGGUCAACUCUGUCAGGCCUCUGGAGGUAAUAGCUCCCCCACUGUGCUUUCCUCUAGGAGCUUCACCAUGUUGCCCCACAUCUUCAUAUAUCCCUCCAUUAACUCUCCUCAGUAACCCUAUUUGAGUGUGCCAUCUGUUGCCUGCCAGGACCUUAACACGUGAUAUUUGUGUAUUUUUUAAUAAAGUAUAUAUGUAUAAUUGUAUGUUUAUAUACACAUAGGAAACAUCUGGAAAGAUGCACAUCACACUGUUAGUAACGGUUACCACCUGGUAAUGGAGAUGGCAGAGGGGCGGGACAAGGGGGAAAAAAGACGGCUUUUAUUUUAUGUCUGUACCAUUUGAAUUCCUUAAAACAAUAGGCUUGUAUUACUUUUGAAAUUAAAAACA